UAAAUAGAAUGGCAUGGCCGGGUAAAGUAGAAAUAUUUUACUUUCUUUUCACUAUAUGCUGGAAACCCUUUAGAGCCUUUAAAACUAGUGCCGCCAACUACAGAAUAGCGGUGGAACACAGUGACAUUUAAAGGAUUAGGCAAUCAGCAGGAAACCAAAGAUAAUUAGGCUUUAUUUAAAGCAUUAAACAUUUUUAUCAAGUAGGUUCCUCAGAGACUACACGUGAAAUAUCUUAGUAGAUAUAUUAAAUAUCUAAAGAUAAAGAUAUAGUCCGGACAUUAUUCGAAAGUUAAUG
rnacentral:ncRNA from 1 species